GUAGGUGGCAAGCGUUGUCCGGAAUUAUUGGGCGUAAAGCGCGCGCAGGCGGUCCUUUAAGUCUGAUGUGAAAGCCCACGGCUCAACCGUGGAGGGUCAUUGGAAACUGGGGGACUUGAGUACAGAAGAGGAAAGCGGAAUUCCACGUGUAGCGGUGAAAUGCGUAGAGAUGUGGAGGAACACCAGUGGCGAAGGCGGCUUUCUGGUCUGUAACUGACGCUGAGGCGCGAAAGCGUGGGGAGCAAACAGGGAUUAGAUACCCUGGUAGUCCACGCCGUAAACGAUGAGUGCUAAGUGUUAGGGGGUUUCCCGCCCCCUUAGUGCUGCAGCUAACGCAUUAAGCACUCCGCCUGGGGAUACGGCCGCAAGGCUG
rnacentral:rRNA from 1 species